rnacentral:rRNA from 1 species
AUUGAACGCUAGCGGGAUGCUUUACACAUGCAAGUCGAACGAUUGGCGGACGGGUGAGUAAUAUAUCGGAACGUACCCAGUAAAGGGGGAUAACUAGCCGAAAGAGUGGCUAAUACCGCAUAAUAUGAGAGCGGCCGAUAUCUGAUUAGCUAGUUGGUGGGGUAAAGGCUCACCAAGGCAACGAUCCGUAGCGGGUUUGAGAGGACGACCAGCCACACUGGGACUGAGACACGGCCCAGACUCCUACGGGAGGCAGCAGGGGGGAAUUUUGGACAAUGGGGGAAACCCUGAUCCAGCCAUGCCGCGUGUAUGAGAAGGCCUUCGGGUUGUAAAGUACUUUUGGCAGAGAAGCGGUACCUGCAGAAUAAGCACCGGCUAACUACGUGCCAGCAGCCGCGGUAAUUC